rnacentral:tRNA from 1 species
GAGCCUGUAGCUCAGUGGUAGAGCAUCCGACUUUUAAUCGGACGGCCGUGGGUUCGACCCCCACCGGGCUCA